GGGCUGUAGUUCAGGAGCAGAGCAUCUGCUUUGCAUGCAGAAGGUCCCAGGUUCAAUCCCUGACAGCAUCU